rnacentral:rRNA from 1 species
UACGUAGGGUGCAAGUGUUAAUCGGAAUUACUGGGCGUAAAGCGUGCGCAGGCGGCUUUGCAAGACAGAUGUGAAAUCCCCGGGCUUAACCUGGGAACUGCAUUUGUGACUGCAUGGCUGGAGUGCGGCAGAGGGGGAUGGAAUUCCGCGUGUAGCAGUGAAAUGCGUAGAUAUGCGGAGGAACACCGAUGGCGAAGGCAAUCCCCUGGGCCUGCACUGACGCUCAUGCACGAAAGCGUGGGGAGCAAACAGG